UAUCACCAAGCGGAGGAAAAGAAACCAACAGGGAUUGCCCCAGUAACGGCGAGUGAAGCGGCAACAGCUCAAAUUUGAAAUCUGGCCCCGUCCGGGGUCCGAGUUGUAAUUUGCAGAGGAUCUUUCGGCGAGGCGCCUUCCGAGUGCCUGGAACGGGCCGCCGGAGAGGGUGAGAGCCCCGUACGGUAGGACGCCGAGCCGGUGUAAAGCUCCCUCGACGAGUCGAGUAGUUUGGGAAUGCUGCUCUAAACGGGAGGUAAACCCCUUCUAAAGCUAAAUACCGGCCAGAGACCGAUAGCGCACAAGUAGAGUGAUCGAAAGAUGAAAAGCACUUUGAAAAGAGAGUCAAACAGCACGUGAAAUUGUUGAAAGGGAAGCGCUUGUGGCCAGACUUGCGCCCGGCAGCUCAGCCGUCCCUCGCGGGCGGUGCACUCUGCCGGGCGCAGGCCAGCAUCAGCUCGUGGCGGGGGAGAAAGGCGGCGGGAACGUGGCUCUUCGGAGUGUUAUAGCCCGCCGCUAUGCCCUACCGCGGGCUGAGGUACGCGCAAGGAUGCUGGCGUAAUGGCCAUCAGCGACCCGUCUUGAAACACGGACCAAGGAGUCGUCCUAGCAUGCGAGUGUUAGGGUGCAAAACCCCUACGCGAAAUGAAAGUGAACGGAGGUGAGAGCUUCGGCGCAUCAUCGACCGAUCCUGAUGUUCUCGGAUGGAUUUGAGUAAGAGCAUGCUGGGCCGGACCCGAAAGAAGGUGAACUAUGCUUGGAUAGGGCAAAGCCAGAGGAAACUCUGGUGGAGGCUCGCAGCGGUUCUGACGUGCAAAUCGAUCGUCAAAUCUGAGCAUGGGGGCGAAAGACUAAUCGAACCUUCUA
rnacentral:rRNA from 1 species